GACGAACGCUGGCGGCGUGCCUAAUACAUGCAAGUAGAACGCACAGUUUAUACCGUAGCUUGCUACACCAUAAACUGUGAGUUGCGGACGGGUGAGUAACGCGUAGGUAACCUGCCUGGUAGCGGGGGAUAACUAUUGGAAACGAUAGCUAAUACCGCAUAAUAUUGAUUAUUGCAUGAUAAUUGAUUGAAAGAUGCUAUUGCAUCACUACCAGAUGGACCUGCGUUGUAUUAGCUAGUAGGUGAGGUAACGGCUCACCUAGGCGACGAUACAUAGCCGACCUGAGAGGGUGAUCGGCCACACUGGGACUGAGACACGGCCCAGACUCCUACGGGAGGCAGCAGUAGGGAAUCUUCGGCAAUGGACGAAAGUCUGACCGAGCAACGCCGCGUGAGUGAAGAAGGUUUUCGGAUCGUAAAGCUCUGUUGUAAGAGAAGAACGGGUGUGAGAGUGGAAAGUUCACACUGUGACGGUAUCUUAACAGAAAGGGACGGCUAACUACGUG
rnacentral:rRNA from 1 species